AAGCAGUAUUUGGAGACAAGAGAAGAUGAGACAAGACAAGACCACAGCAGCAACAGCAACAAUACCCUAAUGGCUUCCAAGAUCCUUCGAUUUAUUCGCUUUAUCGUCACCAUGUAUGCCGAAGAGCGCGCCGUUCAUCAGGCGCGGCUGCUGCUGAGGCACCUGGGGUUCGACCCAAUUGGGAUCAGGGCUGGGUCCAUAGCGGCGGGCGUCCAGGCCCACUACCCGGAACGGGUCACAAAAGGCAGCAUCUUUAGCAUGCUUCAUCGGUGGGGCCGAAACGGCAUGCCUUUGUGGGCGGAGAUGGUGAUAAUGAUGACGACCGCGGAAGUCGUCAGGGCCCUUUUCCGCAUCGCAGUGGGAAUUUUUGUCGCUGAUCCGACGACCAUCCUAUAGAACUCACCAACAGCCACCAACCACCGCUGACCAGAAUGCCACACCACGUCGGUAUUCAGCUGCACAUCCCGCCGGCAACAUCUCGAGAUAAGCAAAUCAACUGGACUUGCCAUGCAGUGGUCUAUUGCAGCGGGUAUCGAAAAUUUCCUCACGUAGAACAGGGUUCAGAGGAUGACCAGCUCUCGGAGACACCACACUGAAUUCCUUAACUCUGAUAAAAUCUCGCUUCUUUACCGUAAA